rnacentral:rRNA from 1 species
AAUCAACGCUGGCGGCGUGCCUCAGACAUGCAAGUCGAACGCGAAAGGUUCCUUCGGGGACCGAGUAGAGUGGCGCACGGGUGAGUAACACGUAGGUAAUUUGCCUUUGGGUGGGGAAUAACUCAGGGAAACUUGAGCUAAUACCGCAUAAUGCAGCGGCUCGACAUCGAGACAGUUGUUAAAGCGGGGGAUUCGCAAGAACCUCGCGCCUAAAGAGAAGCCUGCGGCAGAUUAGCUAGUUGGUAAGGUAAUGGCUUACCAAGGCGACGAUCUGUAACCGGCCUGAGAGGGCGGUCGGUCACACUGACACUGACAUACGGGUCAGACUCCUACGGGAGGCAGCAGUCGGGAAUUUUGGGUAAUGGGCGAAAGCCUGACCCAGCAACGCCGCGUG